UACAGAGGGUGCAAGCGUUAAUCGGAAUUACUGGGCGUAAAGCGUGCGUAGGUGGUUUACUAAGUCAGGUGUGCAAUCCCCGGGCUCAACCUGGGAACUGCGCUUGAUACUGGUAAACUAGAGUUUAGUAGAGGGAAGUGGAAUUCCACGUGUAGCGGUGAAAUGCGUAGAUAUGUGGAGGAACACCAGUGGCGAAGGCGGCCACCUGGACUGAUACUGACACUGAGGUGCGAAAGCGUGGGGAGCAAACAGG
rnacentral:rRNA from 1 species